rnacentral:rRNA from 1 species
UACAGAGGGGCAAGCGUUUAUUCGGAAUUAUUGGGCGUAAAGGGCGCGUAGGCGGCCUGGCAAGUGGAAGGUGAAAUCCCUCGGCUUAACCGAGGAACUGCCUCCCAAACUGCUUGGCUUGAGACCGGGAGAGGUGAGUGGAAUUCCCAGUGUAGCGGUGAAAUGCGUAGAUAUUGGGAGGAACACCAGUGGCGAAGGCGGCUCACUGGACCGGUACUGACGCUGAUGCGCGAAAGCGUGGGGAGCAAACGGG